CUUUUCCUCCUCAGCUCCGGCUCCGCCGCCACGAUUGGCCAGCCGACCACCCGGCCUUGGCCAAUAAGCGCCGCCCUCUCGCCCCCGUGUUACUGGGUAGAAGAAAACAAAAACAAACGGAGCGAGAAGGGCCAGAGACUCUCCGAGGCGGCGACAGAGGAAGAGCGGGGUUGGGGCCGGCUGACCAGGGACCUGGGCGAGCAGCGGCGGGGGCCCUAGGGAUUCUGAAGGAAGAUUUCCAUUUGGUAAUUUGUUUAAUCAGUGCAAGCAAAAUUAAGGGAAAAUGGAUGUAGAAAAUGAGCAGAUACUGAAUGUAAACCCUGCAGAUCCUGAUAAUUUAAGUGACUCUCUCUUUUCCGGUGAUGAAGAAAAUGCUGGGACUGAGGAAAUAAAGAAUGAAAUAAAUGGAAAUUGGAUUUCAGCAUCCUCCAUUAAUGAAGCUAGAAUUAAUGCCAAGGCAAAAAGGCGACUAAGGAAAAACUCAUCCCGGGACUCUGGCAGAGGCGAUUCGGUCAGUGACAAUGGGAGUGACGCCCUUAGAAGUGGAGUAACUGUGCCAACCAGUCCAAAGGGAAGGUUGCUGGAUAGGCGAUCCAGAUCUGGGAAAGGAAGGGGACUACCAAAGAAAGGUGGUGCAGGAGGCAAAGGUGUCUGGGGUACCCCUGGACAGGUGUAUGAUGUGGAGGAGGUAGAUGUGAAAGAUCCUAACUAUGAUGAUGACCAGGAGAACUGUGUUUAUGAAACUGUAGUUUUGCCUUUGGAUGAAAGGGCAUUUGAGAAGACUUUAACACCAAUCAUACAGGAGUAUUUUGAGCAUGGAGAUACUAAUGAAGUUGCGGAAAUGUUAAGAGAUUUAAAUCUUGGUGAAAUGAAAAGUGGAGUACCGGUGUUGGCAGUAUCCUUAGCAUUGGAGGGGAAGGCUAGUCAUAGAGAGAUGACAUCUAAGCUUCUUUCUGACCUUUGUGGGACAGUAAUGAGCACAAGUGAUGUGGAAAAAUCAUUUGAUAAAUUGUUGAAAGAUCUACCUGAAUUAGCAUUGGAUACUCCUAGAGCACCACAGUUGGUGGGCCAGUUUAUUGCUAGAGCUGUUGGAGAUGGAAUUUUAUGUAAUACCUAUAUUGAUAGUUACAAAGGAACUGUAGAUUGUGUGCAGGCUAGAGCUGCUCUGGAUAAGGCUACCGUGCUUCUGAGUAUGUCUAAAGGUGGAAAGCGUAAAGAUAGUGUGUGGGGCUCUGGAGGUGGGCAGCAAUCUGUCAAUCACCUUGUUAAAGAGAUUGAUAUGCUGCUGAAAGAAUAUUUACUCUCUGGAGACAUAUCUGAAGCUGAACAUUGCCUUAAGGAACUGGAAGUACCUCAUUUUCACCAUGAGCUUGUAUAUGAAGCUAUUAUAAUGGUUUUAGAGUCAACUGGAGAAAGUACAUUUAAGAUGAUUUUGGAUUUAUUAAUGUCCCUUUGGAAGUCUUCUACCAUUACUGUAGACCAAAUGAAAAGAGGUUAUGAGAGAAUUUACAAUGAAAUUCUGGACAUUAAUCUGGAUGUCCCACAUUCAUACUCUGUGCUGGAGCGGUUUGUAGAAGAAUGUUUUCAGGCUGGAAUAAUUUCCAAACAACUCAGAGAUCUUUGUCCUUCAAGGGGCAGAAAGCGUUUUGUAAGCGAAGGAGAUGGAGGUUGUCUUAAACCAGAGAGCUACUGAAUAUAAGAACUCUUGCAGUCUUAGAUGUUAUAAAAAUAUAUAUCUGAAUUGGUGCUUCUGAGGAAGACAAGUUUUGAGCUUUCUACCUAAGAAUCUAUGUUACCAUCAGACAGAACUUUUUGUGUCAGAAGUUUAAUUUUAAAGUAAGAUUUGGCAAAAUAUAUAUACAUAGUGCAAAAAAUAUAGCAAAGUAUGAUAUUUAAUGUAAAUAUUCAAAUGACUGAAUGUUUAAACCUUCGGCUUUUCUUACUGUUGCUUUAGGUUUCUCUUUCUCCAUUUCAGACCUUAUUUAACAUAGUAAAUUCCAUUAUUUCUUUCACUGAAGUUUCAUAUUGAGUCGGGCAUGGUAGCUCAUACCUGUAAUCCCAGCACUUUGGGAUGCCAAAGGGGUUGGAUUGUUUGAGCCCAGGGGUUUGAGACCAGCCUAGGCAACACAUUGAGAUCCCUUCUCUACAAAAAUAAAAACCAAUUAGCCAGGCAUGGUAGCACAUGCCUGUAGUACUAGCAAAUCAGUAGGCUAGGGCAGGAGCCCAGUAGUUCAAGGCCUCAGUGAGCUAUGAUUGUGCCAACUGUACCCAAGCCUGGGUGACACAGUGAGAACCUGUCUCUUAAAAAAAAUUCGUAUUGUAAUUAGCAAUUUUAGGAAUUAGCUAAUUAAUUGGCAAUUUUAGGUAUAAUAAACAAUGUUUCAUUUGUUAUCCUUUUACUGGAUAUCAUGAAAAAGCAUAUAGUAAAAGUAAGACAGUAAAUGAGAUAAUACGGAACACAAUAGCUGCAGAUGUUUAGCUAUUAAGCCUGCUAUGUGACACUAACUAUCACUUGUUUAGUCCUAUAAUAAUCAAUGACCUCAAUAUUUGUGAUGUACAUACCUUGUUUUGGAAGAACUUCCCGGAACAUUGACUUCACUUCCGCCAUAUCUGAGUUGUUGGAUAUAGUGUUUUUUCCUUCAAUGAGAAAUCAGUAUUAUUCAAGAAUAAAUUCCCAAAGCAGAUUGCCUGAGACAUUUCCAUUGUAGUUUAAGUAAAAUCCAAAUUCCUAUAGAAAGUGAACUACCCUAACCUUGUAUAAUAUUGCCAUUAAUUUCCUGUGACCUUGGGAUAGUUUGUAUAAGCAUUUAGAUCUUGUCAACUUCCAUUAGUCAGUUGUGGUGUUAACUACAAGGCUAGGUGUUCUAAAUUUUUUUCUCUCAUAGUGAAAACUUGGUAGAGCUUCAGUUUUUAAGGCAAAGAUGAUUAAUAUCAUCUGAGGAAAAGGUAUUUGUGUGUAGCCAGCGUGGUUCGUUGAUAGCAUCUCCCCUGAAUGGUGGGUGACAAAAAACAUGACCACUAUUUGGGGGGGGGGGGGUGAGGCAGGUAGUUAGGAAAAGGAGGAACUGACAGGCUAACAUUUCCUAAGAGUCCUACUUGUCUCAAUGGCCAACAGCUGGUUUCUACUUUGUGUCUAACAAAAAGAAUGCUAUGCAUCACUGGCUGCACAGCUGCAAUUGGUAACGAAGUAAUACAGUAGGUGAAACUGGCUCUUGAAGAACAGAAAUAAGGUAGAGUUUCAGUUUACUAUUUUCCUCUAAUACCGAGAUUCUAUAUGCGAAAGGACCAGCAAUACUUAACUAUGAGUAUUUGUUAUGAACAUCCCAGCAUAUAUGCCAUUUUUGCCAGUGACAUUUGCUCCAAGUAUUACAGCCAAGAUUCUGCUAUGCUGUGUGUUCAAGGUGUUCUGGACUAAGCUGUAGAAUGAUCCCUUUCCAAACACAGAUGCUUUUGUAGACGGUCCCACCCACUCAGUGAUUCACCUUGCUGAUGCAACCUUACCAUGCAUUUCACAACAUCACCCCCACAGAUUUAUUAUUUAUAAAGUGGUGAAUCUGGCUUGAUGCCUGCCUUUACCAACCACUGCAAAUUAGUUAUAAUCAAGUGAAGCUUCUUCUGGUCUUUGUUAUUCCCGCUCCAUUACUUUGACAUUCCUAAUAAAAGUCCUACUCUGUAUUCAAGUAUCUUCCUCUCUCUUGCUGAGAUUCUUAUUCUGGAACGUCUAAGUUCCUGAAAACCUCUAUCUGCUUUCCAGAACUUUGUCAUCAAACUUUACCCCUAUACUGCUCUAGCAGGGAGAGAUGAUGAAAUAAGUAAUGGACCAGGAAUAAAGCAACUCAUCACUAAAUGGAAUGUGAAGUAAAUACAAUAAACAAUUUCCUUAGACUGCACAGCAUCUCCUACCAUAUUUUUUUAGGCCUGCCAGUGGUACCUAGUGAUCACUGCCUUUUUUUUUUUCCAGGUUAGGAUGAAGGUUACUAGCAUUGCAGACCCCCUGAUUAGCCUUGAGUUGAACUAUCAAAAACACCACCUAGCCUCUCCAUUAAAUACAUCACAGUGAAAAUAUUCAUUAUGAUCACAUUUCCUUAUUUGAAGCAAACCUGACAUGAUAUGCCACUGAAAGGGAGGAUAUUAUAGAUGUUGAUAAAUGUGAAGGAAAUACAUAGGAGCUAAGGAUUUUUGUAUGUAUCACCAAAAUGCUAAAGUGGUAGGUAAACAACGCUUAGCUGUUAUAUAGCAUAAGCAACUCCAGCUACUCUGAAUUGUCACUAUCCUUUGUUUUCUCUUAGUCUGAUACCUCUUUCACAUCCAAAAUCUGGCCUGACAAAAACAAUGAAACUUGCUGCUCUACCAAACCUCAGUUCUGUGUUUGACUAAGCUGCCAUUGUUACUGUAAAGGGUGUGGAGCCAAAGGGAUGGUAGGGAGUGGGUUGCGCCUGGUGUGGGGGAGAUCAGUGCCAGUCACUUGCCUGGAUAGAAUGUCUGUUUUAAUAGGGUUGGUUCUUGUUUCUAGGCCCCCUUAGGCAUUGGCAGGAAAGAAACAGGAAGGGAAGGGCUAAAAUAAGCAAGGUGGUGGUUGGAUGGCCCACACUGGCUGGGCUAUACUUUCUUGAUAUCAGCUGCCCUGGGAGUCCAGAGUAGGAAGAAGUACAGUCAUGUGUUUCUUAAUGAUGGGGUAUGUUCUGAGAAAUGCAUCAUUAGAUGGUUCUGUCAUGGUGCAAACAUCCUAAGAGUGUACUAACACAAACCUAGAUGGUAUAGCCUCUUAACACAAACCUAGAUGGUAUACAGGCUAAUAUAAACCUAGGCUAUAUGGUAGAGUCUACUGGGCCUACGCUAUAAACUUGUACAUGUUACUGUACUGAAUACAGUAGGCAAUUGUAACACAAUGGUAUUUGUGUAUCUUAACACAGAAAAAGUGUUCUGCCACAAUGUCAUGAGCAUUACAACGGGGUAUGACAUCAUUAGGCAAUAGGAAAUUUUCAGCUUCAUUAUAAUCUUAUAGAACCACUGUUGUAUAUGCAGCCUACUGUUGACCACAUGUUGGUAUACAGACAGUAUUUCCUUCUCCCACAUGGCCUGCUAAUAGCCAAACAUGGGUGAUCUGCUUAGAGUAAUGCACUCUAAGCAGUUGUGGCUACUUUUAAGAGAACUUUCUUGUCAGGUGAGAUGUAUUUAAACCAGGGACAGAUGGGCCAAGGGAGAAACAUAACAGCUAUGGCUGAAAUUCAUGUGUAUUCUACAACUGCUAUGGCCAUUUAAUUCAAUAAAUAUGCGAGUUUUUUUUAUCAUAUGCCAAGCAUUGUUCAUAAUGAACAGGACUAAAACCCAAACCUUUGCCUUUUUGGAGCCUACAGUCUAGAAUAAGAAGAGAGAAACAACAGCAUGCCAGAAGGUGGUAAGAACUAUAGAAAAUAGUGUAAAGGGGAUUAAGGAAUGCUGAGGGGGGUGGUAUUUCAAUUUUAAGAGGAAAAUCAUGAUGACCUCAUUAAGGUGACAUUUAAGCAAAGACUGCUUUUGUGUGUAUGAGUGCAUGUGUAAUGUCUUUAAACUGCAAAAAGUUUAAAGUCUGAUAGUAUCCACAGGUAGGGAUGGUAUAGGGAAAUUAGUAGUGUUGUUAAGCUUUUUUAGAGGGAUAUUUUGCAGUACUGUAUCUACUAAAACUAAAUAUGCACAUUUUCUUUGACUCAUAGUAAUUGGCUCUAAAGAACACAAAUGUGUAAAAAUAAAAGAGUGUUCAUUAAAGCAUUGUGUUGAAUAGCAAAAUGUUCAGCAAUAGAUGAAGCUAACUAAAUGUUCACCAGCAGAUCAAAGCUUAAAUCAUGGAACAUCCAUAGAACGGAACACUAUGCCAAAUUAAAAAAUGAUGUAGAUUGUCAAGGCAUACUUUAAGAGAAAACAUUAAAUUACAGAAAAUGAAAUUAUUCUUACAUUAAUAGAACCAAACUUAUAAUGCUCACAGAAUACAGUGUCAAUUCAUCAUUUUUUGAAGGCCUUGGUUUAGGUAAAUGGAAAAUAACCUGCUGCUUCCUUUUCUUACACAGAUUCUAAAGUUUGUAAUUUCUCCCAGAGAUAAUAGUUUUGAUGAACAGUGCAUUCCAAAAUCAUGACAAGGGCCCACACAUCUUUCAACAAUGUCUGCAGGGUGCCAGGAGUUGAAACUCAUAAACUAUGCUGACAUCAGUACACUUUACUGCAGAAAUUCAUUGCAUCAGCUCCAAGAAUAGGCAAAGUAGCAGCAACAAUUUAUUAAAGGUAGUCAGUCUAUGUUGCCUACCCAAGGUGCUAACACAUACUCUAUACACACAGGAUUAAAUGCUACUCUCUUCUUUGUAGGACACUGGAGAGGGGUAAGCAUGCUGAGAAGUGAGAUGGAUUUAACCGGCAACUCAUGGCAAAGGUGCGUAUAGCUGGGUUUGAGAAGGCUUAGUCAUGACUAGAAAAGUGUGAAUACUGUGACACAUCCUUGCAAAAAAAAUGUUCAGCUGAAGCCUCUAGACUAACUUCUGGUUUACAGAAGAAAAAAGGGGGGCCCAUUUCCAAAAAGACUCCUGGCUUGAACUCUUCAAAAUGCCAAUGUCACAGGGGGGAAAAAAAGAUGGGGGAACUCUACUACAUUAAAGCUAAAGAAAAAUUUUGACUGGAUCUUGAUUUUUUUUUUUUUUGCAGGAUUGGGAAGGAGAAGGUAUAAAAGAUAUUCCUGGGUAAAUUAGGAAAAUUAGCACUUGGGCUAGAUUUUAAACAUUACAAAAGAGCUGUAAUAAUGAUAUUGUGUUUUGCUGGAGAACUUCAAAAUUUUUAGGGAAUUCAUGCUGGAAAUCUUAAGGGUGUCUUGCCUAACAAUAAGUGUCUGCAACUUUUUACAACAAUGAAAAAGUGAAGAGGAAUGAAAAAAAUAUGGCAAAAUGUUAACUGCUGCAUAUAGAUGAUGGGUACAUGAAUAUUCAUUAAAUUAUUUAAUUCUUUCAGCUUUUAAAUAUAUGAACACUUCCAUAAUAAAACAUUGGGGAAAAAAAUCAUGUCAGAAAGACUUCACGGGGAAACGUAAAAAAAGGUUGAGUAGCAGGCGCUCAGUGCUCAGCUGAAUUUCUGAUAAAUUGAAGGUCUCUAAAACUUGGCUGGAAGUGUCUUGGGAAUCCAAGAGACACCCGAUAUAUUCAAACUUUCGGUGUAGACAUGGUAGUGAAGCUAAAAACAUAAGCGCUAUUAUAUAUAUAACAUACUGAUUGUCAUAAAAGACGUACAAAAAAUGCUAAACUCAGAGGAAAUUACUUCCUGCUGGUGAGAAUCUGGAGCCACAUCUCCACGGAUAACAGAAUCAGAUACAGAAUCACAAAA